rnacentral:ncRNA from 1 species
AUAUAUUAUAUGAUAGGGGUUAAUGUGUUAAUAAUCACCUAACCUAGACCUUGAAUAUACACCCCCUAACCUACUAAAUCAUCGACCCAUAACCCAUAACCCUUCUAAAGACGCAGUGUGAUUUAUUCCCAUUUAUCUUCAUGUCGAAGUGAAGGCAUUCAACCAAGCGUAGGUAAAUAGUGAGAGUAAAUAUGACUAUCUUAAGGUAGCCAGAUUCCUCGUCAUCUAAUUAGUGGCGUGCAUGAAUGGAUCAUUAACAAGAUUUCCCACUCUCACUAGAUACUAUAUUCUAGAGAAACACCAUCCAAGGAAAUGGGCUUGGCAGAAUUAGUAGGGAAAGAAAAAACUCAUGUUGAAUUUGACUCUCUUCCUAACCCAUUCAUAAUUUGGGA